rnacentral:rRNA from 1 species
GAUGAACGCUGGCGGCGUGCCUAAUACAUGCAAGUCGAGCGAACAGAUAAGGAGCUUGCUCCUUUGACGUUAGCGGCGGACGGGUGAGUAACACGUGGGUAACCUACCUAUAAGACUGGAAUAACUCCGGGAAACCGGGGCUAAUGCCGGAUAACAUUUAGAACCGCAUGGUUCUAAAGUGAAAGAUGGUUUUGCUAUCACUUAUAGAUGGACCCGCGCCGUAUUAGCUAGUUGGUAAGGUAACGGCUUACCAAGGCAACGAUACGUAGCCGACCUGAGAGGGUGAUCGGCCACACUGGAACUGAGACACGGUCCAGACUCCUACGGGAGGCAGCAGUAGGGAAUCUUCCGCAAUGGGCGAAAGCCUGACGGAGCAACGCCGCGUGAGUGAUGAAGGUCUUCGGAUCGUAAAACUCUGUUACUAGGGAAGAACAAAUGUGUAAGUAACUGUGCACGUCUUGACGGUACCUAAUCAGAAAGCCACGGCUAACUACGUG